CAAGAUACAGCAGCCUGCAAAGUUAAUAAUCUGUUAUAUCCAUGGAUCGUUUGUAAUGUUUAAAAUGUGUGCGAUUGACCGUGGCCAAUAAGCAAUAAAACCAGUUAAGAAGCUACCACAUCUACAAAUACCUACUUAUCAGGCAGAUAGACAGUAUCAUUAUUCAGUUCUUUACCCAGAUUCGACGGCUAGGAGAAGAUAGAAGGAGAAGAGGAGAGAAGAACAGAAAAGAAAAAAAAAAAAUCAAAAGAAAGGAAAGGAAGGAAAAAGAACAGCUAUAUUUCCAGUGAGAUAUAACACAUGCCCUCCCUAUAGGGAAAAUAAGAACCAGUUAGCUAUUGACCUUUCGCGAGCUCACACAACCAGCCAACAUCAAGACAAACUGUGAUCGUUUUCCUUCAUUUUUUUUUUGUCCUUUGCUCAACCACACGCCGCCCGCUCCGCCAAGUUCCAUUUCUGUGCGCCCUUCCAAUAUGACUGGCGAGAAGUCUAAGAAAUAACUUCCACUACGGCAA
rnacentral:sRNA from 1 species